CAGCGGAUGCAGCCAGAGAAGACGGAUGAGCCUAUUGUUGCUGCAGUGGUUUUUUUGUUCUGUUAUUUUUCUGCCAGUUCAGUGAACUGAACCGGCUCAUGGAAGAAUCUCUAGUGCCAGAAACAUCAGAGUACAGAGUAACAGUGGAAUCAAGCCCAGCCCUUCUGACAGCUGUUAGAUUAAGCCAGCCACUCUGGUUUACUCACUCCUGGUGCCUCCUCUUCCCCUCACAGGUGGGUCUCUGGGAUCCCUGAAUUUCUGCAAUUUGCAAGAGUCGUCCCUGGUGAGUGAAGAAGUAGAGAACCACGCUUUCCAGCACAAUCCAUACGGCACCAUUUGCCACUGCUAACACUGUCUAUUUGAAAGCACACAAGCAGUCUUUGUGCAUGAAGCACAGGCCAGAGGAGCCUGCUGCCCCUUUGACAUCUUCUCAGCAGGACUGAUGGUGGCCAGGCUUUGAAAGAGAAGCAGCUGCAACAUGGGGCCUCCCCAGCAGGUCUCCCGUCCUGCUUCCUCUCCGUCUCCCUGCACACAUCCGGAGGAGCCAGUUUGCUCGCAAUGCCAUGGCUGCAGCUUCAGACAGCCAGAAGUCAUCUGCAGUUUGCCUCCUGUGACACUGAGUCACAGGAGAGAGGAAGGGACUUGCUAGGGAACAGGAAGUAAAUGGAGUGUCUUGUAGAGACGACUUGGAGGGAGAGCUGACUGCCAGCCAAAAACCCCGUCCAGCUACAAAAGCAGCUGUUUCAGCCCAAAGAAUUUCUAAGCAGAAUUAUUUUCUUAGCACCUCAUCAUGCUUCCUGCAGGAGCUUGGGCAAUCAGACAGGUUUUCCAUCCUAGUAGGCUACAAAACAUGGGGUGCUUAUUUAGAUAAGUUGGUGAAUGCUGCUUGGUGAUCACACGGCUGAGAGAGCUCUACGCGGGUGAGGAGGGAGAAAAAGUUUUGAGGCGUCAAAAGGGGAACGCUUGGGCUGAAUCAAUACUGGAGGUUUGGAGUCAAGUUUCAGCCUUUUUCCUGUGGCUGCUAAUUCCAAGCCCCAGCUAGAGCAGGGAUGUGUGUGUGUGUGCGCCUCAGGCACAGCAGAAAGCAGGAAUUUUCCUAGGCUGUGACGCACAGUCUACCUCGAGGACUGGCUUUGUCCUAGCUCCAGGGCCAGGACAGGGAGCAGGGGACUCCCAGCUGUCCAAGCGUUGGUCCUGUCUGGAACCUCUUCUACACUGAGAAGUUACUGGAGUUAAAAAGAGAGAGUGUUCUUCUAUGAAAGACUAAUUGCCACAGGAAAGUAGAG
rnacentral:lncRNA from 1 species